UCCCCAAUUCGUUAACCGAAGAGUGGAAAACAAACAAGCCCCAGCGGAGCGGAGGUCGAACCAUCACCAAACCCGAGCCCCGACCGCCCACCUCGCCGUCGCCGCCGCAGGCGAUCAGCCGCCGCCGCACUAAUCCCUGCCUUGUCCUUAUCAUAAAACCGCGGCGCUGGAGCUCUGAUGCUUCCCACCCCAUGGUCUUCCACAUUUCCCUCGCCCGCCACUGGCUUCCUCCUUCUCCUUGCCCUCCUCCCCGUCGCAUCGGGGACCUCAGUCCCUACCCUAGGAGGUUUCGAUCGUGGAGAGGCGGCCGGCGCGGACGCAUAUUCGAUCCUUACGUUUCACGACUACACGCCGCCUCCGCCCCCCGUUCUGCCGCCGCCACCGGCGGCCCCGGCGGCGACCUGCGCGGGGGACCUCCACGGCGUGGGAGACCUUGACACCCAGUGCGUGGUCCAUGAGUCGGUGAGGCUGGGUGGUGGGGUGUUCAUCAGUGGCAACGGCAGCCUCCUAAUCCUUGAUGGCGUCGCGGUUACCUGCGAGCGGCCUGGGUGCGUCGUCUCUGCCAACCUCUCCGGCGAUCUCCUCCUCGGGAACAGGUCCCGCGUCGUGGCCGGGUGGGUUUCCCUCGCGGCGGCCAACAUCACACUCGGCGAGGACGCUGUUAUUGACACCACCGCGCUUGGCGGUGACCCGCCGGACCAGACCAGUGGUGUACCCACUGGGACGUAUGGGGAUGGCGGUGGACAUGGCGGCCGUGGCGCCAGCUGCUUCGUUAAGAAGGGGCAAGCACAAGAGGACUCAUGGGGUGGUGAUUCCUACGCUUGGUCUGCACUGAAGACCCCAAAUAACUAUGGAAGCAAAGGGGGAUCCACUACCGUCGAGAAGGACUAUGGUGGUGGGGGUGGCGGUGUCGUGUGGUUGUUCGCUGAAGAGAUUGUGAUGAAUGGAACAGUUCUUGCUGAUGGUGGAGACGGUGGCACCAAGGGUGGGGGUGGCUCUGGGGGGAGCAUCUAUCUGAAGGCUUCAACAAUGCAAGGAGGUGGCAAAAUAAGUGCUUGUGGAGGCAAUGGUUUAGCUGGUGGAGGUGGAGGACGUGUUUCCAUCGAUGUUUUCAGUAGGCAUGACGACACACAAAUUUUUGUCCAUGGGGGGAAGAGUUCAGGAUGCUUGGACAAUGCGGGAGCAGCUGGAACACUUUAUGAAGCAGUACCUAAGAGUAUUACUGUUAGCAACAAUAACUUGAGCACACAAACGGAUACAGUUUUUCUAGACCCCCCAUAUGAGCCACUCUGGACAAAUGUUUUUGUCAGAAAUUGUGCCAAAGUUUCUCUUCCCUUACGGUGGAGCCGUAUUCAGGCUCAAGGACAGAUUCUUUUAUCUGGUGCUACUCUAACUUUUGGCCUGACACAUUAUCCAUAUUCAGAAUUUGAGCUGUUGGCUGAGGAACUUCUUAUGAGUGAUUCCACAAUCAAGGUCUUUGGCGCUUUACGAAUGUCGGUAAAGAUGCUCCUUAUGUGGAACUCAAGAAUGACUAUUGAUGGUGGCCGAGAACUAGGUGUGGGAACUUCAUUACUAGAAGGUAGCAAUUUGAUAGUGCUGAAGGAAGCAUCUGUCAUACAUUCAAAUGCUAAUCUAGGGAUUCAUGGUCAAGGAGUUCUAAAUUUAUCUGGUCAAGGAGAUACAAUAGAGGCACAACGCCUUAUUUUAUCACUGUUUUACAACAUUUUGGUUGGACCUGGAGCUGUUCUAAGGGGCCCACUUAUAAAUGGAAGUCGUGAUGAGAUGGCCCCAAAACUGAAUUGCGAAGAUGAGAGUUGCCCUAUGGAAAUCUUUCAUCCACCUGAGGAUUGCAACUUGAACUCUUCAUUGCCUUUUACUUUACAGAUAUGCCGUGUUGAAGAUAUUGAUGUUUCUGGCCUUGUUCAAGGAACUGUAGUUAAUUUUAACAGAGCAAGAAGUGUCACUGUUCAGACAUCUGGGACCAUAAGUGCAACAGGAUUAGCUUUAAAGAUUUCAUUAAGACAAAUUUAUUGUUAUGGGAUUCAUGGCCAGAGUCUAAGUCAGCUGGCCCCUCAUCUGGUCAAGUCGUUCUCUUCUAGGGCUAAAAAGAGGAGUGUCCACGAUGCUCUCACAACAAGGAACUGGGUGCAUGACAUUCGAGGUGCUAUCACCCUAAGUGUUCUGUCUGAUUUUCUCAAAGUUUGGAACCUCACUGCAGACUGGGCCUUACAUCCGGACCAUGAGGAUAAGCACAUCUGGCUGCUCUCAAGCUCAGGCUGCCGAGGUGGCAUUGGAAGAGGAAAAAUGUUAAGCAGUGGGUUUAGUGGUGGGGGUGGGCAUGGUGGUAAAGGCGGUGAUGGCAUUUAUAAUGGUGGUCAUGUAGAGGGUGGAUCUGCGUAUGGUCAUGCUGAUUUACCAUGUGAACUUGGCAGUGGCAGCGGUAAUGUCAGUGGAUCUUCAACUGCUGGUGGUGGUAUAAUAGUGAUGGGUUCUUUGGAACAAUCUCUGCCGAACCUCUCCCUUUCUGGCUCGAUUGAGGCAAAUGGUGGUAAUUUUACUGGUUUGAUGUCUCAUGCCACAAUUGGAGGACCUGGUGGCGGUUCUGGUGGUACAAUUCUUCUUUUUGUGCGGACAUUACUCUUGAAGAAGGACUCUGUACUUUCUAGUGUUGGGGGAGUUGGUGGCAAUGGCAGUGGUGGAGGUGGAGGGGGUCGGAUUCACUUCCACUGGUUUGAUAUUCCCACUGGAGAUGAUUAUAUUCCUUUUGCAACCAUUAAAGGAACAAUACUUGCAAGAGGAGGAGUCAGUGAAGGGCAAGGUUUCUCUGGUGAGAAUGGAACCAUCACAGGAAAGGAUUGCCCAAAAGGUCUUUAUGGAACAUUUUGCAAGGAAUGUCCCUCAGGAACAUACAAGAAUAUUACUGGAUCAUCUAAGUCCAUGUGCUCACCAUGCCCUCCAAAUGAGCUACCUCGCCGUGCUGUAUACAUAAGCGUCCGAGGAGGUGUUGCUGAACCCCCAUGCCCAUACAAAUGCGUGUCUGAUAGAUAUAGCAUGCCUCACUGUUUUACUGCCCUUGAAGAGCUGAUAUACACGUUUGGUGGACCUUGGUUGUUUGGUCUGCUUCUGUCUGGCCUUCUUGUUUUAUUAGCUCUUGUUUUGAGUAUUGCUCGGAUGAAGUUUGUUGGUACUGAUGAGUUGCCUGGACCAGCACCAACUCAACAGAGCUCCCAAAUUGAUCACUCUUUUCCCUUCCUUGAAUCACUGAAUGAGGUAUUGGAAACAAACAGGGCAGAAGAAUCUCACUGUCAUGUGCACAGGAUGUAUUUCAUGGGCCCAAACACCUUCAGUGAACCUUGGCAUCUCCCACACACCCCGCCAGAGCAGAUUUCAGAGAUUGUGUACGAAGAUGCAUUUAACAAAUUUGUUGAUGAGAUCAAUGCUCUUGCAGCCUAUCAGUGGUGGGAAGGUUCAGUUUUUAGCAUCCUAUGUAUACUUUCAUUUCCCCUGGCAUGGUCGUGGCAACAGUGGCGCAGGAGAAAGAAAUUACAAAAACUACGUGAAUUUGUUCGUUCUGAAUAUGAUCAUUCAUGUUUACGGUCCUGCCGUUCGCGUGCACUUUACGAGGGGCUAAAGGUAGCUGCUACUCCAGAUUUAAUGCUGGGUUAUUUAGAUUUCUUCCUUGGUGGGGAUGAGAAAAGGACUGAUCUUCCUCCUCGGCUUCAUCAAAGGUUUCCAAUGUCCCUGAUCUUUGGAGGUGAUGGAAGCUAUAUGGCUCCAUUUUCACUUCAUAGCGACAGAGUGGUCACAACUCUUAUAAGUCAGGCUGUGCCAUCAUCUAUAUGGCAUCGUCUUGUAGCUGGAUUGAAUGCCCAGUUGCGUUUGGUUCGCCGUGGAAAUCUAAACACAUCACUUCUCCCUGUGCUCAAAUGGCUAGAAAGUCAUGCAAAUCCUGAAUUGAACACGUACCGUGUGCGUGUUGACCUUGCAUGGUUUCAAACUACAGCAUUAGGUUACCUUCAGUUUGGUCUUGUCCUUCAUGCUGUCGGGGGAGUGGUGGCUGCUGAACUCCAGGAUGGCUGUACAAGUAAAACCGAUCAGCAUUCAGUAAACCAGAAUACAUGCACUGACUCUCAAAUGGGCCACUCAAGGACCAAUGAUGUUCUGCGUAAAAGGAUAACUGGCACCAUUCUCAAUGUUGACAACUUAAGGAUGCUUGGUGGCAGGAGAGGUUUCUUUUACCUUCUCUCUCUUAUCUUGCACAAUACAAAACCAGUUGGACAUCAGGACCUUGUCGGCUUAGUCAUCUCAAUACUGCUUCUUGCAGAUUUCAGCUUAGUCUUGCUUACUUUCCUCCAACUAUAUUCAUAUUCUAUGGUCGAUGUUCUGUUAGUCUUGUUCAUUCUUCCUCUUGGGAUACUAGCACCAUUUCCAGCUGGGAUAAAUGCUCUUUUUAGUCAUGAACAGCGGCGGUCAGCUGGUCUUGCUCGUGUCUAUGCCUUGUGGAAUAUUACAUCACUGGUUAAUGUUGUAAGUACUCCUCCAUCAUUGUCUGUACCUGGAUUUUGCUCUAACAAGUUCAUUAGGUUGCCAAGUUCAGAUUCAUAGGGAGUUGUAAUCAUUGCUGUUUGCUUGAGCAUUUGUUGGGGAUUCAAUAUUGCCAUUAAGAGUUCAAGCAUGGGCAUCGAUAGAGGCUGAAUGCUGGAACCUUAUUCCUACCCCCAGAUUUGUAUCAUGUUGUGGCUUUUGUAUGUGGAUUUCUGCAUUACAAGUCAUCAAGCAAAAAACAUCCAAGCAUGCAGCCGUGGAGUUUUGGUGGGGAGGAAACCAGCUGGUCGCUAUUCCCUAUAGGACUUGUUCUAUGCAAGUGCAUUCAAGCAAGGCUUGUUGAUUGGCAUGUAUCUAUCUUGGAGAUCCAGGAUCGUGCAGUUUAUAGCAAUGACCCAACAAUAUUUUGGCAGUGAAAGCAUUUCGAUUUACAGGAGUUCUCAUGAGGAGAGCUUAAUGCAACUCAAGUUUUUGUGGGAGUUGAUAAAAGGAAGGCUAUGGAGUUAGUCUGUUCUUUGUCCGCCCAGUCAGGGGAAGCAUGUACAAAGUAGAUGCUGGUAAUUGCCUGCCUAUAUAGACUUAAUGACUUACAGUGCAUGGUCAACCUUUUGUCCAGUCACUCACCCAGCUUUGUUUUCCUUGUACAUAGGAAACGGGUUUAAUUAGUUGACCGAUUCGUUGUAGGAUUUAGGAUUUAGACACCAUAGAAUUAUAGAUUACCCAAGGUAAUCUCAAAGAGAUGGUGGAAAACAUAUAUACUUCUUUUGUUUAAAGCUUUGUCUUUUGCAUUGAUGUUGAGCUGGGAAACGGGUGAGGCAUCAAAUAGAGCUUUUUUCCCCUCUGUUAAGAUUAAGACAAAUGUUAACGUGCUGAUGUUUUAUUCAAGAUCUGGUUGCCAUA